rnacentral:rRNA from 1 species
AGCCCGCUCAGAAACUUAAAGGAAUUGACCGGGGGCCCGCACAAGCGGUGGAGCAUGUGGUUUAAUUCGAUGAUACGCGAGGAACCUUACCUGGGCUCAAAUGUAUGUUGACGUAUUCUGAAAGGGAUACUUCUUCGGACAAUAUACAAGGUGCUGCAUGGUUGUCGUCAGCUCGUGUCGUGAGAUGUUGGGUUAAGUCCCGCAACGAGCGCAACCCUUGUGUUUAGUUGCAAACAGGUCAAGCUGUGCACUCUAGACAGACUGCCGUGGACAACACGGAGGAAGGUGGGGAUGACGUCAAAUCAUCAUGCCCCUUAUGAUCUGGGCUACACACGUGCUACAAUGGCCGGUACAACGGGCAGCGAAGGAGCGAUCCGGAGCGAAUCCUAAAAAGCCGGUCCCAGUUCGGAUUGCAGGCUGAAACUCGCCUACAUGAAGUUGGAGUUGCUAGUAAUCGCGAAUCAGAAUGUCGCGGUGAAUGCGUUCCCGGGUCUU